rnacentral:rRNA from 1 species
UACGUAGGGUGCGAGCGUUGUCCGGAAUUACUGGGCGUAAAGAGCUCGUAGGUGGUUUGUCGCGUUGUUCGUGAAAACUCACAGCUCAACUGUGGGCGUGCGGGCGAUACGGGCAGACUGGAGUACUGCAGGGGAGACUGGAAUUCCUGGUGUAGCGGUGGAAUGCGCAGAUAUCAGGAGGAACACCAGUAGCGAAGGCAGCUCGCUGGGACGGUACUGACGCUAAGGCGCGAAAGCGUGGGGAGCGAACAGG